ACUCCUACGGGAGGCAGCAGUGAGAAUGAUUGGACUGAAUGGAGGCAAGCUCUGAUCCAGCCAUGCCGCGUGCAGGAAGACUGCCCUAUGGGUUGUAAACUGCUUUUAUACAGGAAGAAACCACUCUACGUGUAGAGUUCUGACGGUACUGUAAGAAUAAGGAUCGGCUAACUCCGUGCCAGCAGCCGCGGUAAUACGGAGGAUCCAAGCGUUAUCCGGAAUCAUUGGG
rnacentral:rRNA from 1 species